UCCGCGGCCUAUCAGCUAGUUGGCGGGGUAAAAGCCCCAAGGCUACGACGGGUAGCUGGUCUUAGAGGACGACCAGCCACACUGGAACUGAGACGGUCCAGACACCUACGGGUGGCAGCAGUCGAGAAUCUUUCACAAUGGGGGCAACCCUGGGAGCGACGCCGCGUGGAGGAUAAGGUCUUCGGAUUGUAAACUCCUGUCAUGUGUGAAAGGUUGCGAGAUUAAUAGUCUUGCAAAUUGAUGGUAACACAAGAGGAAGAGACGGCUAUCUGUGCCAGCAGCCGCGGUAAUACAGAGGUCUCAAGCGUUGUUCGGAAUCACUGGGCAAAGGGUGCGUAGGUGGCGUGGAAAGUCAGAUGUGAAAGCCCGGGGCUCAACCUCAGAAGCAUCCGAUACUACCAUGCUAGAGUACUGAAGAGGUGACUAGAAUUCUCGGUGUAGCUGAAAUGCGUAGAUAUCGAGAGGAAUACCAACGGCGAAGGCAGGUCACUGGGCAGUUAGACACUGAGGCACGAAGGCCAGGGGAGCAAACGGGAUUAGAUACCCCGGUAGUCCUGGGUAAACGGUGCAUAUUUGGUGUGGGCGCAAUCGACCGCGUCCGCGCCGGAGCUAACGC
rnacentral:rRNA from 1 species